rnacentral:rRNA from 1 species
AUUGAACGCUGGCGGCAGGCCUAACACAUGCAAGUCGAGCGGAUGAAGGGAGCUUGCUCCUGGAUUCAGCGGCGGACGGGUGAGUAAUGCCUAGGAAUCUGCCUGGUAGUGGGGGAUAACGUCCGGAAACGGGCGCUAAUACCGCAUACGUCCUGAGGGAGAAAGUGGGGGAUCUUCGGACCUCACGCUAUCAGAUGAGCCUAGGUCGGAUUAGCUAGUUGGUGGGGUAAAGGCCUACCAAGGCGACGAUCCGUAACUGGUCUGAGAGGAUGAUCAGUCGCACUGGAACUGAGACACGGUCCAGACUCCUACGGGAGGCAGCAGUGGGGAAUAUUGGACAAUGGGCGAAAGCCUGGUCCAGCCAUGCCGCGUGUGUGAAGAAGGUCUUCGGAUUGUAAAGCACUUUAAGUUGGGAGGAAGGGCAGUAAGUUAAUACCUUGCUGUUUUGACGUUACCAACAGAAUAAGCACCGGCUAACUUCGUG